ensembl:lncRNA
CUUGAGGGCAACUGCCAACUUGAAGAUGAGUGAUAAACAUAUGGCUUUGCUGUCAAAUAGCAGGCAUGAUGAAUAGCCUACUCAAGGUGCUGUUUUCAGGAAACAGACUGUUCUUCAUGGUCAGGCCUGGAUCACUGUCAUCUCCGCGAAGGCCACUGAGCCCAAACACGUGCACCGGCUGACAAGUGUUCCACCUCUGCAUAAGGACAGUCAGCCCUCAUUCCUUUUGGAACACGAGCCCAGGGCUGAUUUAAUUGAAGUGGGCAGUGUAAGGACCGAAGUCAACACACACUCACAUUCAUGAAGGUCCAUGAAAUGAGCCGACUAAUGGAAGACCAGCUGGCUAGAUUCUUCAUAAAAUAGGGGUAAAUAAUUCAGCUUUAAAGAGAGAGUGUUCCUCAAAUAAUUUAAAAGGCUGUGGCUCAGCAGACUUCCAGUAGUUUACACAGUAGCAGCAGAAAAGUAGUUUUUCUCAUUCAAUGUCUAUGAGUACAAGUGAUUCACAACACACAAUUGAGUUUCCUUGACUGCCUCCAACCUGAACAAUGCAACAGAGUAGAAGCUAGCAUGUUCAAAUAUUAUAAAGGAAUGAUUUACAUUUAGUCAGUGAAUGUAAUAUAUGUGUGUGUGGACAAGAUUUUUCAAGAUUUUUCAUUUCACCAUUUCUGUUCCAGAAAGUGAUCCAGUUGCUAAAUCCAGAGUGAAAAAUUCAAUUCUCAUCUUCUCAUCCAUCAAGCUGGGCUCCAUUCAUAUUAAUGUGUCCCACGGUGAGAUCUGCUCAACAGCCUCCUUCGGUUUGGGCAUCUUGACUGAUUGGGAUUCCACCCCAAUGAAGAAAGAUCAUCUCCAGCCCAAUGAAGAAAGACAUCCCCACCCCCGCCCCCCUCCACAUUACUGGCCAAUUAAGAAGAUGAAAAAUAAAGUAAUUUCAGGGGGCAUCGAGAGCGAUUGCUAAUAGCAGUCAACAAUGAGAAUUGACAGCAGAUGGUACUGAUGGAUACUGUGCCUACACAACCUUCAGGAGACAUACGAGCACAUCUGUGCCCCUGGC